rnacentral:lncRNA from 1 species
AAACAAGAAGCCCAUGAACUAACUGUGAGCCUCUCAGAUAGAUAUAUACUGUUCCAGGCUUUAAUCAAAAUCCAAUUUUUCUUGACCAAUUGCAAGAUUGAAAUCAUGAUCCUAUCGAGAGAAUUUUACUAGACAUCACAUGCAUAAUAAAGACAGUAACUUCACACUGUUAAUUAGAAGUCCAAGACACGAAGGUUACCAGCCAUUCCUUGUGCCCUUGGAAUCCCCGUGGAUUAAGCUCUUUAACAGCAACUAGAGUGUACUCAAGACCAGGUCUGACAUUGUCAUCUAUAGCACCUUUAUAGACGAGGCCAAACCCUCCCU